ACUUCCGCCUGGGAAGGCCUGCUUCCGGUCGGUCUGCAGUAUGGCGGCACGGCAGACCCUGCGAGUGCUGUGUCUAGCCGGCUUCCGGCAGAGCGAGCGGGGCUUCCGUGAGAAGACCGGAGCGCUGAGGAAGACGCUGCGGGGUCGGGCAGAGCUUGUGUGCCUCAGCGGACCUCACCCGGUCCCCGAGGCAGCGGCUCCCGAGGGUUCGUGUCCAGACUCGGGUGAGACUUGCUGGACCCCUUCGCACACCUGGACCUCAGUUCUCACCUAGCGCCUUUAACUCCGGCUCUAGUCUGAGCUCCCAGGUUUCCUCCUUUAUCUGUGUCCAGGCCAUUCCAGGUCCCUCCCGCCCCCCAAGUCCCCUGGCUGCACUUUCCCAAGCUCUGCCUUUUUCUUCUCACCAUCUCUAACCCUGGGCCUGUGCUCUUCUCCCAUCUGCUUCUAGGGCCCUGUUCUCCGGAGGAGCAGCCUCGAGGCUGGUGGUUUUCUGAGGAGGAAGCCGAUGUUUUCUCUGCUCUGGAAGAGUCCACAGUGUGCAGGGGUCUGCAGGAGGCCCUGGAAACGGUGGCACGGGCCCUUGACACGCUGGGGCCGUUUGAUGGACUUCUUGGCUUCAGCCAGGGGGCUGCACUAGCAGCUUAUGUGUGUGCCCUGGGCCAGGCAGGCGAUCCUCGCUUCCCCUUGCCAAGAUUUAUUAUACUUGUGUCGGGGUUCUGUCCCCGAGGCCUUAAGGAACCUAUCUUGCAGAGCCCCAUGUCACUGCCUUCACUUCAUGUUUUUGGGGAUACUGAUCGAGUCAUCCCUUCUCAGGAGAGUAUGCAAUUGGCUAGCCGAUUCCUUGGAGCCGUCACCCUCACCCACUCCGGUGGUCACUUCAUUCCAGCAGCUGCAUCUCAGCGUCAGGCCUACCUUAAGUUCUUGGACCAGUUUGCAGAAUGAAGGAUGGACAAAUGUCUCCGCACUGCUCCCACUUUGUCCAGCAGCUCUCCCCUGUCUCCUCACCAUGGCUAGUUAAGACAACUGUCAGUUCUCAGGACACACAUAAGCCCAGAGAGCCUGUGAGAAGACAGGGGUGGGCAGGCAGGGGCUGGCACCCCUGUGACUGACAGACAAUAAAGCGAUGCUUUAGAUGUUGAAUGCCUUUCUCCUGCUGCCCCGAUCCUGGGGCAGCACCAAACCAAACCCAAGGACACAUUUUUGGUGGAAGUCAUUUAUUGUUUUGUAUCUUUAAAUUCGGCUUAUUGUGUGUAUGGGUGCAGACUUGUGGAGAUCAGAGGAUAAGUGCGGGGAGUUGAUUCAACCAUGUGGGUUCUUUCUGAGCUCUGAUCAUUUGACUUGGCAAGUCAUGCCUCUACCUGCUGAGCCAUGUCACCAUCCUUUUGUGGAAGUUUAAGUCCCAGACUGAAGAAGCUAGAUAUCUUGGUCACUUAGAAUCAGAAAGUUUUACGUUUGAGGAGUUUGGGGAAAGAAAACACUUGGCAAGGCUCUGCUUGGCUCCAUCUGCUUUUAGGUUUCCUACAUCCUGGUCCCUGGCUUGGCCAUUGCUUUCUCUUCCAUAACUGUUCCAUCCCCCUCUGAACUCUGAGCUUGAAGACUUGGGUAGUACCAUAUGUUGGGUAGAGGCCAAAGACAGCACAGAGUAACCUGCCUUUUCCUAAUGAAGCCAUCUUCAGGGUUUCUGAGAUUACUGCUAUUCAUAAUUGAUGAUGCUAAUUAUUGAUAUGUUGAGAAAGCCAAAGCUUAAGUAGCCUGCUCAGCUUAACUUCUUGCCAUUUUUCUUCUCACUUCCAGUGCCCAAUCUUGCCACACACAUAGGCACGCUGCUUUCUGACUUCUGCCUCUGAAAGACAGUUUUUCCAAGAUAUCACAAGGUACUUACCUAGUCCCACACCACAAUAUCUUCUAGGGAGCUUAGUCACUGAGCAGGAGUUGGAGUUGGCCAGUUACUCCCAAGUCAUUCUUAUACCCAGAGUUAUAUGUUCUUGACACACAAGUGUUUCAAGGUAUACAUCAGAGAAAUGGUUCUGUGGUUAAGGACAUGGGCUGCUUUUUCAAAGGACCCAGGUUCGGGCUCCAGCAUCCACAAUGUAGCUCACAAACAUCUAUAGCUCUUAGUUCCAGAGGCUCUAGUCCCAGGUCCCAGGGUUGUACAUGAUAUGUGUUUAAAAAGUCAAUGACCCAAUGGCCAUGGUGGUACAUGCAGGCAGAGGUAGAGGACAGUCUAGUCUAAAAACAACCAGUUAGUGGUGGCACGUGCCUUUCAUCCCAGCACUGGCAGAGACAGGCAGAUCUGAGACUGAGCUUAUCCUAGUCUACAGAUGGAGUUCCAGGACAGAGAGGGCUACACAGGAACGCUCUCUGUAACCUCUGUUAGAUGACCAAGGCAGAGCCUUGCCAUGUAUUCUCUUGCCCCGAACUCCACUUACAUAGAAGUCUGACUCAGUUACAAAGGCCUCUGGCUUCUUUAGGGCUCAAGAUUUCCACCAAAAGACAGUGAGAUGGCUCAGCAGGUUAAAGGCACUGACUGCUAGCUAACACAUGCCAUCUCAUACACACUAAACAUUUUAAAAUUUCACGAAAGGAUAGACUGGAAUUAUACCCCAAAGUCCCAUGUACUGAUUUGAGAUCCCUUUUUAACAGCUUGGGUGGGGGAUUGGUCUCUGUGCCUUGUUCUUGCCUUACAGUGAUUGCUUCCUUGACAAAAGGAGAUUGAACACGUGGAAUUUU
rnacentral:lncRNA from 1 species